CCGAGCCCCGUGUCAGCCAGCUGGGCACGGCUGCGCCCCUGGGGAGGCCGGGCCCUUGGCUCAGGUCCGUCAUCAUCCUGCCACUUGCUGAUGGGACGAGCCAACCCUUGGGCCCCCGUGGUUUCCCCGUAACCGUGGAAAUGACGCCGUUGACCCUGCGUGCAGUUCUGCAGGCUGCAGAUGAUUUGCCACCGCCAGUGACGGCCAGGAUCCGACGGCCCUGUUCUGUUUCAACGUCUUUAAUGGACAAGGAGAGCCGCGUACCCCAGUGACUUUCCCCUUUUGUCUCGUCUGCCAGGAAGCUCGGAGCUAAGUUUGUGCUCAUUUUCAGGAGCUCCCUACAGCCUAGGCUGGUGACUCUCAUCUGGGACCAGUCACCGGGCUGACAACGGGGAGGGGCUGGCCCGGGAGGCGCCCACGCUGCCCAGCAGAGACCCACCUGGGGAGACGCAGGGGCCCUCUCCAUGUCGCCUCAAUGCACAUCCACGGAAAGGAAGCCAACCAGGCCCACUCCUAAGGGACCAGGGAUUGUGGCCACAACGCCUCACGUCUGCACUGUCCACAGGGACAACGACGACCCCACGCUGGCGCCCAGAGAUGACCCGCGUGCAAAGCGCCUACCGCCCCCUCUCCAAACUCUCUGCUACGCUGAUUGAGACGAAGUUUUCGCAAUUUGGAAUUUCAGAGGAGCACGUGUGUGCUGCGUCCAGAGCCUGCACGUCCAGGCGGCGACUCGGUGGCCCUCACCGGAGCCCAGGGAAGAGCCCGGGCCCCAGAGCUAACUUGCGGCCAGCACGGAACUUCCAGGAUGGGGACACUGUCACUGGAGGCCCGCCAUCUCGUGCAAGGGCAAUGGCACGGAAGGCGAGGGGGAUGCCGAAGGUGCCCCUUGUCUCCUGUCCUGCUGGGCCGCCCUGAGUCCCUGUCCACGCUCAGGCCGCCGGGGCUGGGCACCCCGUCCUGACGGUCCCCAGCAGUUCCAGGUAGGGAGCCAGUGGACGGGAUUCAGGAACUUCAGGGGUGGUUUUUAAUGUCACUUGAAAGGUGGCGUCCAAUAAAUCAGAAGAGCAGCUUGGACCUAA